CAAGGAAUUUUCGUCAAUGGGGAGACCCUGAACGAGCAACGCCGCGUGGGCGAAGAAGUCCCUCGGGAUGUAAAGCCCUUUUCCCUGUGAAGAAAGAAAGACGGUAACAGGGGAAUAAGCAUCGGCUAACUACGUGCCAGCAGCCGCGGUAAUACGUAGGGUGCGAGCGUUGUCCGGAAUCAUUGGGCGUAAAGGGCGCGUAGGUGGCCCGGUCAGUCUUUGGUGAAAGCGCGGGGCUCAACCCUGCGUCGGCCAGGGAUACUGCCGCGGCUGGAGCACUGUAGAGGCAGGCGGAAUUCCGGGUGUAGCGGUGGAAUGCGUAGAGAUCCGGAAGAACACCGGUGGCGAAGGCGGCCUGCUGGGCAGUUGCUGACACUGAGGCGCGACAGCGUGGGGAGCAAACAGGAUUAGAUACC
rnacentral:rRNA from 1 species